UACGUAGGGGCCGAGCGUUGUCCGGAGUUACUGGGCGUAAAGCGCGCGCAGGCGGCUCGUCAAGCCUGACGUGAAAGCCCCCGGCUCAACCGGGGAGGGUCGUCGGGGACUGGCGAGCUUGAGGUCGGCAGGGGCUGGUGGAACUCCCGGUGUAGUGGUGAAAUGCGUAGAGAUCGGGAAGAACACCCGUGGCGAAGGCGGCCAGCUGGGCCGUACCUGACGCUGAGGCGCGAAGGCGUGGGGAGCGAACGGG
rnacentral:rRNA from 1 species